AAGAGGAAGAUUUAUGCCAAGCUUACUUUUCGGAGAACGUAAAGUCUCUAGGAGGACUCUACGUAUGUGUGAAAGAGGACGAUGGACGAUAUGGCCUGCGAUGCUCGGAUAAAUACAGAGCCGUGGCGUCUUUCACCAGGGGCAUGUUGGAUGUCGACGUAUGCACAGAGAAACGAUGCGAGCUUUACUGCACGGGUCCAGAACGUCAGUGCGUGGAGGGGAAGUGCGUAUGCCACGCGAACUAUUUCGAGAACGCCGAGGGAAUUUGUGUCCCACAAUGCUCUCGGAAGCCGUGCAAAAAUGGCGGCACUUGCGAAACCGGGGUGAAAACAUCUUUCUACUGCAGCUGCCCGCCUUACUUCACUGGACCUACGUGUGAAAUUCAGUUCCAAGCCUACGCCA